rnacentral:rRNA from 1 species
CAAGCGUUGUCCGGAAUUAUUGGGCGUAAAGAGCUCGUAGGUGGUUCGAUACGUCGGAUGUGAAAAUCAGGGGCUCAACCCCUGACCUGCAUCCGAUACGGUCGAGCUAGAGUUUGGUAGGGGAGACUGGAAUUCCUGGUGUAGCGGUGGAAUGCGCAGAUAUCAGGAGGAACACCGAUGGCGAAGGCAGGUCUCUGGGCCAAUACUGACACUGAGGAGCGAAAGCGUGGGGAGCGAACAGGAUUAGAUACCCUGGUAGUCCACGCCGUAAACGGUGGGCGCUAGUUGUGCGAACCUUCCACGGUUUGUGCGACGCAGCUAACGCAUUAAGCGCCCCGCCUGGGGAGUACGAUCGCAAGAUUAAAACUCAAAGGAAUUGACGGGGCCCCGCACAAGCAGCGGAGCAUGCGGCUUAAUUCGACGCAACGCGAAGAACCUU